UACAGAGGGGCAAGGCGUUAUUCGGAAUUAUUGGGCGUAAAGGGCGCGUAGGCGGCUUUGCAAGUGACGGGUGAAAGCCCUCGGCUUAACCGAGGAACUGCCUGUCAGACUGUGAGGCUUGAGACCGGGGAGAGGUGAGUGGAAUUCCCAGUGUAGCGGUGAAAUGCGUAGAUAUUGGGAGGAACACCAGUGGCGAAGGCGGCUCACUGGACCGGAACUGACGCUGAGGCGCGAAAGCGUGGGAGCAACAGGG
rnacentral:rRNA from 1 species